rnacentral:rRNA from 1 species
AUUGAACGCUGGCGGCAUGCCUUACACAUGCAAGUCGAACGGCAGCACGGGAGCAAUCCUGGUGGCGAGUGGCGAACGGGUGAGUAAAGUAUCGGAACGUGCCCAGUCGUGGGGGAUAACGUAGCGAACGUUACGCUAAUACCGCAUACGAUCUAUGGAUGAAAGCGGGGGAUCGCAAGACCUCGCGCGAUUGGAGCGGCCGAUAUCAGAUUAGGUAGUUGGUGGGGUAAAGGCUCACCAAGACGACGAUCUGUAGCUGGUCUGAGAGGACGACAAGCAACACUGGGAGUGAGACACGGCCCAGACUCCUACGGGUGGCAGAAGUGGGGAAAUUUGGACAAUGGGCGAAAGCCUUAUCCAGCCAUGCCGCGUGAAGGAUGAAUGCCUUCGGGUUGUAAACUGCUUUUGUACGGAACGAAAAGGUUUGGCCUAAUAAGCUGAGCUCAUGACGGUACCGUAAGAAUAAGCACCGGCUAACUACGUGCCAGCAGCCGCGGUAA